ACAUCUAUAGUUUAAUGGAUAAAACAACAGACUUCGAAUCUGUAAAUAAUAGUUCGAUUCUAUUUAGAUGUU
rnacentral:tRNA from 1 species